rnacentral:rRNA from 1 species
UACGUAGGAGGCGAGCGUUGUCCGGGAAUUACUGGGCGUAAAGAGCGCGUAGGCGGCGCGAUAACGACCGAUGUGAAAGCCCCCCGGCUCAACUGGGGAGGGUCAUCGGUAACGGGUCGUGCUAUGAGUGCAGGAGAGGGAAGUGGAACUCCGGGAGUAGCGGUGAAUGCGUAGAGACCGGAGAACACCAGUGGCGAAGGCGGCUUCCUGGUCUGCGACUGACGCUGUGGCGCGAAAGCUAGGGGAGCAAACGGG